rnacentral:misc_RNA from 1 species
GAAAUGCGAUAAGUAGUGUGAAUUGCAGAAUUCAGUGAAUCAUCGAAUCGUUGAACGCACAUUGCGCCCCUUGGUAUUCCAUGGGGCAUGCCUGUUCGAGCGUCAUUUGUACCCUCAAGCUCUGCUUGGUGUUGGGUGUUUGUCCCCGUCUCCGCGCGUGGACUCGCCCCAAAGUGAUUGGCAGCCGGCGUACUGGUCCCGGAGCGCAGCACAUGUCGCGCAAACGAGUGCCUUGGUACGGCGGCGUCCAUAAGCCCCUCUCUCACGCUCUUGACCUCGGAUCAGGUAGGGAUACCCGCUGAACUUAAGC